rnacentral:rRNA from 1 species
CCCGGUGACCUAAUGCCCAAAGGGCCACACCCGUUCCAUCCCGAAUACGGAAGUUAAGCCUUUGGGGCCGAUGAUACUGAAUAGGGAAAGUAGGUCGUUGCCGGGC